AGGGGUAGGGGAGCUUACUAUGGUAGGUAGAAGCAUGACCGGAAGGACAUGUGGACGAGAUAGUAGUGAGAAUGCCGGAAUAAGUAGCGAGAGUGAAGUGAGAAUCUUUACCGUCGAAAAUCUAAGGUUUCCUGGGGAAGGUUCGUCCGCCCAGGGUAAGUCGGGACCUAAGCCGAGGCCGAAAGGCGUAGGCGAUGGGGAACAGGUUGAAAUUCCUGUACUACCGCUGCUCGAUUGAGAGAAGUGGGGACGCAGGGGGAUAGGUCAAGCGAGUGACUGGAAGAGCUCGUCCAAGCGGCAAGUAGAGUCCGGUAGGCAAAUCCGCCGGAUGAUUAUGAGCCGUGAUGGGGAGGGAAAAUAUAGUACCGAAGUGACCGAUUUCGCACUGACGAGAAAAGCCACUAUCGAGAGUAGAGGUACCCGUACCGCAAACCGACACAGGUAGGUGAGGAGAGAAUCCUAAGACGAGCGGGAGAAGCGUUGUUAAGGAACUCGGCAAAUUGACCCCGUAAGUUCGCGAGAAGGGGUGCCUGUGAGAUCAGGCCGCAGUGAAAAGGCCCAAGCAACUGUUUAGCAAAAACACAGGUCUCUGCUAAAUCGAAAGAUGAAGUAUAGGGGCUGACGCCUGCCCGGUGCUGGAAGGUUACGGGGAUCUGUUAGCGCAAGCGAAGCAGUGAACUUAAGCCCCAGUAAACGGCGGCCGUAACUAUAACGGUCCUAAGGUAGCGAAAUUCCUUGUCGGGUAAGUUCCGACCCGCACGAAUGGCGUAAUGAUUUGGGCACUGUCUCAACAACGUCCCCGGCGAAAUUGUAGUACUUGUGAAGAUGCAAGUUACCCGCGACAAGACGGAAAGACCCCAUGGAGCUUUACUGUAGCCUGAUACUGGGUUUCGGUAUUCUUUGUACAGGAUAGGUGGGAGAUAGGGAAGUGUGGACGCCAGUCUGCAUGGAAUCGCCGUUGGGAUACCACUCUAAGGGUACUGGGACUCUAACCUGAGGCCAUGAGCUGGUCUAGGGACACUGUCAGGUGGGCAGUUUGACUGGGGCGGUCGCCUCCUAAAAGGUAACGGAGGCGUCCAAAGGUUACCUCAGCGCGGUUGGAAAUCGCGCAUC
rnacentral:rRNA from 1 species